AAAAAAAAUGAAAAAAUAUUGUUUAUUGCCAAUAAAAUUAUACAGGUUGAUAUAAUUUAAAAUUAUUUAAAAAUAAAAAAUAUUUAUUUAUCUGUCUUUAAGUCGAAUAAUUUUAAAAAUCGUAUAAAGCUGCUGUGGAAUUUAUCUAUAUUCCUAGAAUUGUGAGCGUAUAGUUUAUAGUCUUCCAAAACCGAACAAUUUUCUCGUUUUAGGAAUGGAAAAUAAAUAAAAGAAAAAAACAAUAAUAAUGCGAGCUUCAUAUUUUAUUUUGGAGAUGAAGUGUUAUACGAAAUCAAACACUUCCGAUAUAGAGCCAUCACAUAGCAGUCGAUGGUCAAUACACCGUACUGGACAAUGCACCGUAAUUAUUUGGGAGGGAGUUUUUACCCCCGUCUCGAGUUUCCGGGAAGUAAUUAAAUUGGCAGAAAUUUCUAGUGGCACAACUAUUGUGCAAUCGUUGAGUCGCAAACCCUGAAAAUAAUACUGGUGUGUUGUGCAGAUACCAUCCGAGUUAUUAAAUCUUACCGCCUCUUCUUUAUACCGGUGGAAUGAUGUCCACAAAUUCCACCCCCCCUUGCGGUCGCUGCUUAAGGAUUUCCCAUCAGGAUUAAGCAGUGCUGUAGAAGUUACCGAGGUGGCAGUGUAUCCUCUUAUUUCCAGUUAAUCCGUAGUGUAGAUGCCAAAGGUUCUUGACCGAGAUGAUAAAAAAAAAGAAAUAAAAAAAAAGUCGUUCCUUUAUCAGCAAUAUAGUUUUAUUUGUUUUUUUUUUUUUUUCGGGCGAAAUUUUCUGUAAGAACUUUAUUAGUUUUCGCUAGAAUUUCCAAAUAACAUUAUUUAAACUUGACUAGAUGUAUAAUAAAAUACAGUCUGUAACGUUUCCAGCGUGCACAUCCAAAAUGUAACAAUCAUCUGAACGCGUUAUUGAUGAUCUUUAUUUGUAUUUUUGAAACGGAAUUCUGUUUUUGGCAUUGUUUGUAAGAUUGUAGUUUAUAUAGCGUUAUGCGAAAUGAUAAAUUGCUUUCUUGGAAGUUUUUAAAUUUUACUUAUUC
rnacentral:lncRNA from 1 species